AUGACUGUAUUUCAGAUUUCUGCAAUAUGUUACACUUCAAACUUGCACCUAUCCAUUAUGAUUCUCCACUCCAUGAACUGUUUUUAUGAAGAGGCACACAACCAAUCAAAAGUGAAUACAAAAUCAUUGUUCAAGUAUCUUCAGAAAAUGUCCCGGCAAAACUCUAAACCGAUGCAGGCAGUCAAUAGUCAAAGAUAUCACAAAUGCAUAACCACAAAAGUAACACAAUUCUAUAUGAAAUGUUGGAUGGAUGGCUUGUAUUAUAUUUGGCCUAUGUACAGCAAACUUAGAUGCCAGCCAAAGGAGGAUGGCUUGCCCCUGCUGAGUCUGGUUCCUCCCAAGGUUUCUCCCUAUACCUCUCUGCUGAUGAUCCUCUUCACUAAUUUAGGGAGUUUUUCCUUGCCACUGUUGCCUUCUGGCUUGCUCACUGGGGUUUUAAGGCACAAUAUUUUCAAUGUAAAUUGUUUGUAA
rnacentral:lncRNA from 1 species